rnacentral:rRNA from 1 species
ACAAUUAAACCACAAAUUGUUCGCCAAAUAACUACGAGUAAAAACUUAAAAUUUAAAAGACUUGACGGUACUUCACAACAACCUAGAGGAGCCUGUCCUAUAACCGAUAACCCACGAUUAACCCUACCCCCCCUGGCCUACAGUCUAUAUACCGCCGUCGCCAGCCUACCUUGUGAAAGAAAUAAAGUAAGCUAAACAACACACAUUAACACGACAGGUCGAGGUGUAACUAAUGGGGCGGAGAAAGAUGGGCUACAUUUUCCACCAGGAAUAUACGAAUGCGAUUACGAAAGAUUAGCCGCUGAAGGCGGAUUUAGCAGUAAGAUAAGAAUAAAAUGCCUAACUGAAAUAUGCAAUGAAGUGCGUACACACCGCCCGUCAUCCC